CCUACGGGCGGCAGCAGUGAGGAAUAUUGGUCAAUGGACGCAAGCCUGAACCAGCCAAGUAGCGUGAAGGAUGACGGCCCUACGGGUUGUAAACUUCUUUUAUACAAGAAUAAACUCAGAUACGUGUACCUUUUUGUAUGUAUCUUAUGAAUAAGGAUCGGCUAACUCCGUGCCAGCAGCCGCGGUAAUACGGAGGAUCCGAGCGUUAUCCGGAUUUAUUGGGUUUAAAGGGUGCGUAGGCGGGUUGUUAAGUCAGUUGUGAAAUCUUGAGGCUCAACCGUAAAAUUGCAAUUGAUACUGGUAGUCUAGAGUGCAGUUGCGGUAGGCGGAAUGCGUGGUGUAGCGGUGAAAUGCUUAGAGAUCACGAAGAACACCGAUUGCGAAGGCAGCUUACCAAGCUGCCACUGACAUUGAUGCACGAAAGUGUGGGUAGCAAACAGGAUUAGAUACCCUUGUAGUC
rnacentral:rRNA from 1 species